rnacentral:rRNA from 1 species
CCUACGGGGGGCAGCAGUCGAGAAUCAUUCACAAUGGGGGAAACCCUGAUGGUGCGACGCCGCGUGGGGGAAUGAAGGUCUUCGGAUUGUAAACCCCUGUCAUGUGGGAGCAAAUUAAAAAGAUAGUACCACAAGAGGAAGAGACGGCUAACUCUGUGCCAGCAGCCGCGGUAAUACAGAGGUCGCAAGCGUUGUUCGGAAGCACUGGGCGUAAAGCGUGCGUAGGCUGUUUCGUAAGUCGUGUGUGAAAGGACCGGGCUCAACCCGCGGAGGGCACAGGAUACUGGGAGACUCGAGUGAUGGAGGGGGAACCGGAAUUCUCGGUGUAGCAGUGAAAUGCGUAGAUAUCGAGAGGAACACUCGUGGCGAAGGCGGGUUCCUGGACAUUAACUGACGCUGAGGCACGAAGGCCAGGGGAGCGAAAGGGAUUAGAUACCCCAGUAGUC